UUCAUGGUAGCAAGUCUCUCGAAAGGUGAACCAGAUUUAGCCCCCAAUAAAUGUUUUGGCACAAAUUUUGGCACUGGAGACAUGUCAGAAUUCUAGGCAAAGUAAUCUUAUCAGCAAUCGAACUAGCCACAUUUGGAAUGGCAGACAUUAUUGGCGUAGAUCUAACAACUUCAUCUUUCUCGCCCAUGGAGGAAGUUAGGUCAAUCAUGAGCCUAG
rnacentral:lncRNA from 1 species